ensembl:lncRNA
GGAAGGAACUGGGCGCCCCAGCCUAGGGGCAAACAAGCAGAGCCCAUCCGAAGACGCGGUGCGUCCUCUAAAGCGCUCCCGAAGUUGCCUCUUCAGUGUUUUCUCUCUCCUUUCUUUUGCCUUGCACAUGUUUUAGUGAUUGAUCUUGACUGUCUUGUUGGACUUAGGACUGUGUCGCUUUGUGUAUUUUUCGGUGAAAAUGGGGCAGUUAAUUCAAACUAGUCAAUCCUAAAGGAAAUUAACCCCGAAUAUUCAUUGGAAGUCCUGAUGCUGGAGCUCCAAAUACUUUGGCUAUUAGAUGCGAAGAACCUACUCAUUAGAAAAGACCCUGGUGCUGGGAAAUUUGAGGACAGGAGAAGGGGACGACGCAGAACGAGAUGGUUGUAUGUCAUCACUGCUUCAAUGGACUUGACUUUGAGCAAGCUCCCUGAGAUAGUGAAGGACAGGGAAGCCUGGCGUGCUGCAGUCCAGGGGGUCGCAAAGAGUCAGACACGCAAAGAGCGACAGAACAAUUAUCCUCUUAAAAUAGGUAAAAGUCAAAAGGAUUUCUGAAUAAGAGCUGCUAACUCUACUGAUCCCUGAGUCUGAAAUUCAGUACUUGGAUGCAAUCUCAAAAACGACAGAAUGAUCUCUGUUCGUUUCCAAGGCAAACCAUUCAAUAUCAUGGUAAUCCAAGUCUGUGGCCGACCAGUAAUGCUGAAGAAGCUGAAGUUAAACGGUUCUAUGAAGACCUACAAGACCUUUUAGAACUAACACCCCCAAAAGACGUCCUUUUUAUUAUAGAGGACUGGAAUGCAAAAGUAUGAAGUCAAGAAACACCAGGAGUAACUGGCAAAAUUGGCCUUGGAGUACAAAAUGAAGGAGGGCUGAUAGAAUUUUGCCAAGAGAACGCAUUGGUCAUUAGCAAACACCCUCUUCCAACAACAGAAGAGAAGACUCUAUACAUGGACAUCACCAGAUGGUCAACACCGAAAUCAGAUUGAUUAUAUUCUUUGCAGCCAAAGAUGGAGAAGCUCUAUACAGUCAGCGAAAACAAGAUCGGGAGCUGACUGUGACUUAGACCAUGAACUCCUUGUUGCCAAAUUCAGACUUAAAUUGAAGAAAGUAGGGAAAACCACAAGACCAUUCUGAUAUGACCUAAAUCAAAUCCCUUACGAUUAUACAGUGGAAGUGAGAAAUAGAUUUAAGGGACUAGAUCUGAUAGACAGAGUACCUGAUGAACUAUGGACAGAGGUUUGUGACAUUGUACAGGAGACAGGGAUCAAGACUAUCCCCAAGAAAAAGAAAUGCAAAAAAGCAAAAUAACUGUCCAAGGAAGCCUUACAAAUAGCUGUGAAAAGAAGAGAAGCGAAAAGCAAAGGAGAAAAGGAAAGAUAUACCCAUUUUGAAUGCAGAGUUCCAAAGAAUAGCAAGGAGAGAUAAGAAAGCCUUCCUCAAUGAUCAGUGCAAAGAAAUAGAGGAAACCAAUAGAAUGGGAAAGACUAGAGAUCACUUCAAGAAAAUUAGAGAGACCAAGGGAAUAUUUCAUGCAAAGAUGGGCUCAAUAAAGGACAGAAAUGGUAUGGACUUAACA